rnacentral:rRNA from 1 species
UACUUAGUGGCAGACGGGUGAGUAACAUGUGGGUAUCUACCCUUUGGCCUGGAAUAACACGAGGAAACUUGUGCUAAUACCGGAUAAGUCUUUACGGAGAAAGCUUUAUGCACCAUUGGAUGAGCCCGCACUUGAUUAGUUUGUUGGUAGGGUAAUGGCCUACCAAGACUAUGAUCAAUAGCUGAUUUGAGAGGAUGAUCAGCCACAUUGGGACUGAGACACGGCCCAAACUCCUACGGGAGGCAGCAGUGGGGAAUCUUGCACAAUGGAGGAAACUCUGAUGCAGCGAUGCCGCGUGAGUGAAGAAGGCCUUUGGGUUGUAAAGCUCUUUCGUCGGGGAAGAAAAUGACUGUACCCGAAUAAGAAGGUCCGGCUAACUUCGUGCCAGCAGCCGCGGUAAUACGAAGGGACCUAGCGUAGUUCGGAAUUACUGGGCUUAAAGAGUUCGUAGGUGGUUUAAAAAGUUGCCCCGUGAAAUCCCAGAGCUUAACUCUGGAACUGCCAUCAAAACUUUUCAGCUAGAGUAUGAUAGAGG